ACGUAGGGGGCAAGCGUUGUUCGGAAUUACUGGGCGUAAAGGGCAUGUAGGCGGCUUUGUAAGCCUGGCGUGAAAGUCCACAGCUUAACUGUGGGACUGCGUUGGGAACUGUGAGGCUUGAGUCACGGAGAGGGAGCUAGAAUUCCUGGUGUAGGGGUGAAAUCUGUAGAGAUCAGGAAGAAUACCAAUGGCGAAGGCAAGCUCCUGGCCGAUGACUGACGCUGAGGUGCGAAAGUGUGGGGAUCAAACAGGAUUAGAUACCCUGGUAGUCCACACUGUAAACGAUGCACACUAGGUGCUGGGGCGGAUGCCUCAGUGCCGGAGCUAACGCGGUAAGUGUGCCGCCUGGGGAGUAUGCUCGCAAGGGUG
rnacentral:rRNA from 1 species